GUACUGCAAUAUGUUUGUGCCUCUUUGAAGUAUUUGCACCGCUAUUUGAUAAGUUCCUACGUGGAACGGAACGUUCCACAGCUGUCAAAAUAAUUUUACAGAACCUAUUGUAAUUGUUUAAGGGUUCAUUGACAUCAUACUCGAAAUCCAAAAGUAAUCGAUUAACAGUUUCAGAAUAAAGAUCCCAAUUAACGAGACAUGCUGCAACGCUCAGAAUUCUUACAGAAUUUAGCUAAAUGUCCAUACCUCAAGCACCGGUAGCAUUGUUUAACUGGUGGUAUAUAUGGAGUGACAUUGUGGCGCCAACCUCCAAUAUCCAGAUAUUCAGGAGGAGAGUGAGAGCAAGUCUCUGGAUCCAAUGGUUUUCUGACUAUCUGAGGAUUCUACAAAGACAACAAAUUCUGUCCCAGGGGAUUCCUCGGGAUAUCUUCUAAUAUAAUCUGUGACGUAGUAAGGUUUAUACUUAUCGGCCUU